GGGGAAUUUUCCGCAAUGGGCGAAAGCCUGACGGAGCAAGACCGCGUGGGGGAGGAAGGCCUUCUGGGUCGUAAACCCCUUUUCUCAGGGAAGAAGAUCUGACGGUACCUGAGGAAUCAGCCUCGGCUAACUCCGUGCCAGCAGCCGCGGUAAUACGGAGGAGGCAAGCGUUAUCCGGAAUUAUUGGGCGUAAAGCGUCCGCAGGUGGCUUUUCAAGUCUGCUGUCAAAGACAGAAGCUCAACUUCUGAGAGGCAGUGGAAACUGGAAAGCUAGAGAACGGUAGGGGUAGAGGGAAUUCCCAGUGUAGCGGUGAAAUGCGUAGAGAUUGGGAAGAACACCGGUGGCGAAAGCGCUCUACUGGGCCGUAUCUGACACUCAGGGACGAAAGCUAGGGUAGCGAAUGGGAUUAGAUACCCCAGUAGUCAAGGGG
rnacentral:rRNA from 1 species